GAUGAACGCUGGCGGUCUGCUUAACACAUGCAAGUCGAACGGAAGUAGCAAUACUUUAGUGGCGGACGGGUGAGUAACACGUAAGAAUCUGCCUCCAGGACGGGAAAAACAGUUGGAAACGACUGCUAAUUCCGGAUGAGCCGAAAGGUAAAAAGAAAUUCGCCUGGAGAUGAGCUUGCGGCUGAUUAGCUAGUUGGUAGGGUAAGAGCCUACCAAGGCGACGAUCAGUAGCUGGUCUGAGAGGAUGAGCAGCCACACUGGGACUGAGACACGGCGCAAACUCCUACGGGAGGCAGCAGUGGGGAAUUUUCCGCAAUGGGCGAAAGCCUGACGGAGCAAGACCGCGUGGGGGAGGAAGGUUCUUGGAUUGUCAACCCCUUUUCUCAGGGAAGAAGAUCUGACGGUACCUGAGGAAUCAGCAUCGGCUAACUCCGUGCCAGCAGCCGCCGUAAGAC
rnacentral:rRNA from 1 species